rnacentral:rRNA from 1 species
GAACGAACGCUGGCGGCGCGUUUAAGCAUGCAAGUCGAGCGGCAAGGGCCUUCGGGCCCCUAGAGCGGCGGACGGGUGAGUAACACGUGGACAAUCUGCCCCCCGGCCCGGGAUAGCCCAGGGAAACCUGGAUUAAUACCGGAUGAGACGGGACCCGCGAAGGCGGGACCCGGGAAAGGCGCUGCGGCGCCGCCGGGGGAUGAGUCUGCGUCCCAUUAGCUAGACGGCGGGGUAACGGCCCACCGUGGCGACGAUGGGUAGCCGGCCUGAGAGGGUGGACGGCCACAUUGGAACUGAGACACGGUCCAGACUCCUAUGGGAGGCAGCAGCUAAGAAUCUUCCGCAAUGGGCGAAAGCCUGACGGAGCGACGCCGCGUGAACGAAGAAGGCCGUGAGGUUGUAAAGUUCUUUCGGGAGGGGGAACAACCGUGGCAGGGAAUGGCCGCGGGAUGACGUGAAUCCCGGAAUAAGCCCCGGCUAACUACGUGCCAGCAGCUGC